rfam:Schistosoma curassoni strain Dakar, Senegal genome assembly, scaffold: SCTD_contig0011888
AUCUAACUGACGAGUUCCAAAUAGGAUGAAGUGACGCACUUCAAACUAGAU